rnacentral:tRNA from 1 species
CUAAGGAUGGUUCUUCAGAAGCUUGCUUCUAUCGAACCGUUUUAGAAACAUCAGUGGCCAACGAUCGUCAGGAUUGUUGAGCUGCAUUGGCGGGAUUUCGCCGUCUUCGUUUCUCUUUCUUCGCGGACGAACACGCGCUGGGGCUGCAAGCUUGCAGAAUCCCUGGUCCUUGACUGGAUAUGCGUUAGGGGCUUGUAGCUCAGUUGGUUAGAGCGCGCGCUUGAUAAGCGUGAGGUCGGAAGUUCAAGUCUUCCCAGGCCCACCACACUCAUCGAGUGAGCAUUCGUCUUCUGGUUACGGGGCCAUAGCUCAGCUGGGAGAGCGCGUGCUUUGCAAGCAUGAGGUCGUCGGUUCGAUCCCGUCUGGCUCCACCAGAUGGUUUGAUCAUCGACUGAUCGUGCACCUAAAUCGUCCGCGAAACAUCACUUCGCACUUACUAGUCCGGAUGGACAGUAAGCUGCGUGAUUUCUGACAUCGUAAAGAGGAGAUCGAUCCGAGUUGGAUCGGGCAACAAGCAAUUGUUGCGCGAUACUUCAUUAUCUCCGGAUCAUUUCGGCGCUCGUGCGCCUUUCAAUGUAGCUCACAAGGCUGCGUCUGAGAGGAAUGCGAGUUGUAAAUGAUCCUUUUAGCGAAGCUUGACCGCCUCGCUAUCGGAACGAUCUUACGAAGCAAGCUGGUCUUUCUAAUCAUUGUCCGGCUGCAGAUAGCGUUCAUCGAGGGCGCGUGCCGCAAGGUAAUUCUGCAGACAACAUUCUGCCGAGUGUGUGGACAUUGAUAAUGAGAGC